rnacentral:rRNA from 1 species
CCCUUAGAUGUUCUGGGCUGCACGCGCGCUACACUGAUGCACUCAACGAGUUUACGACCUUGCCCGAUAGGGUUGGGUAAUCUUUUUAAAAUGCAUCGUGAUGGGGAUAGAUUAUUGCAAUUAUUAAUCUUCAACGAGGAAUUCCUAGUAAGCGCGAGUCAUCAGCUCGUGCUGAUUACGUCCCUGCCCUUUGUACACACCGCCCGUCGCUCCUACCGAUUGAGUGCUCAGGUGAAUAAUUCGGACUGCAGCAAUGUUUGGAUCCCGAACGUUGCGGCGGAAAGUUUAGUGAACCUUAUCACUUAGAGGAAGGAGAAGUCGUAACA